UACAUGGGGUGCAAACGUUGCUCGGAAUCAUUGGGCGUGAAGCGCGCGUAGGCGGUUGCUUAAGUCGGAUGUGAAAGCCCUCGGCUUAACUGAGGAAGUGCAUCCGAAACUGAGCAGCUAGAGUACGAAAGAGGGUCGCGGAAUUCCCGGUGUAGAGGUGAAAUUCGUAGAUAUCGGGAGGAACACCGGUGGCGAAGGCGGCGACCUGGGUCGAGACUGACGCUGAGGCGCGAAAGCGUGGGGAGCAAACAGG
rnacentral:rRNA from 1 species